rnacentral:rRNA from 1 species
GUAGUCAUAUGCUUGUCUCAAAGAUUAAGCCAUGCGUGUCUAAGUAUAAACAAGUUUAUACUGUGAAACUGCGAAUGGCUCAUUAAAUCAGUUAUAGUUUAUUUGAUGAUACCUUGCUACAUGGAUAACUGUGGUAAUUCUAGAGCUAAUACAUGCAAUCAAGCCCCGACUUCUGGGAGGGGUGUAUUUAUUAGGUAAAAAACCAACGCCCUUCGGGGCUCCUUGGUGAAUCAUAAUAACUUAACGAAUCGCAUGGCCUUGCGCCGGCGAUGGUUCAUUCAAAUUUCUGCCCUAUCAACUUUCGAUGGUAGGAUAGUGGCCUACCAUGGUGGCAACGGGUAACGGGGAAU